GCGGCUACGACCUGAUUCGGGCUCGGCCCGAUCCUCCCACCCUUUGUGUACCUACCUCUGUUGCUUUGGCGGGCCGCGGUCCUCCGCGGCCGCCCCCCUCCCCGGGGGGGUGGCCAGCGCCCGCCAGAGGACCAUCAAACUCCAGUCAGUAAACGAUGCAGUCUGAAAAACAUUUAAUAAACUAAAACUUUCAACAACGGAUCUCUUGGUUCUGGCAUCGAUGAAGAACGCAGCGAAAUGCGAUAAGUAAUGUGAAUUGCAGAAUUCAGUGAAUCAUCGAAUCUUUGAACGCACAUUGCGCCCUUUGGUAUUCCGAAGGGCAUGCCUGUUCGAGCGUCAUUACAACCCUCAAGCUCUGCUUGGUAUUGGGCACCGUCCUUUGCGGGCGCGCCUCAAAGACCUCGGCGGUGGCGUCUUGCCUCAAGCGUAGUAGAACAUACAUCUCGCUUCGGAGCGCAGGGCGUCGCCCGCCGGACGAACCUUCUGAACUUUUCUCAAGGUUGACCUCGGAUCAGGUAGGGAUACCCGCUGAACUUAAGCAUAUCAAUAAGCGGAGGAA
rnacentral:rRNA from 1 species